rnacentral:rRNA from 1 species
GACGAACGCUGGCGGCGUGCUUAACACAUGCAAGUCGAACGGAAAGGCCCUGCUUUUGUGGGGUGCUCGAGUGGCGAACGGGUGAGUAACACGUGAGUAACCUGCCCUUGACUUUGGGAUAACUUCAGGAAACUGGGGCUAAUACCGGAUAGGAGCUCCUGCUGCAUGGUGGGGGUUGGAAAGUUUCGGCGGUUGGGGAUGGACUCGCGGCUUAUCAGCUUGUUGGUGGGGUAGUGGCUUACCAAGGCUUUGACGGGUAGCCGGCCUGAGAGGGUGACCGGCCCAGUUGGGCCGGGGAUACGGCACAGCCUCCUACGGGAGGCAGCGGUGGGGAAUAGUGCACAAUGGGCGGAACGCUGAUGCAGCAACGCCGCGUGCGGGAUGACGGCCUUCGGGUUGUAAACCGCUGUCGCCUGUGACGAAGCGUGAGUGACGGUAAUGGGUAAAGAAGCACCGGCUAACUACGUG